rnacentral:misc_RNA from 1 species
AAAGUCGUAACAAGGUUUCCGUAGGUGAACCUGCGGAAGGAUCAUUAACACGUAUCCAUACGUAUUAUAUACCAAACCGUGAACUCGUUUGUAACAAUGAAAAGGCGCGAUUGGAAACGAUCAAGCCUGUAUCUUAUUACAACUUAUAAACCACUAGUAAACCAUUGAACUAAACCUAAGAAUGUAAUGAGCUCUAACGAGCGCUUUACUUCUGUAUUUACGAAACGUAAAAACAAUUCUUAGCAACGGAUAUCUUGGUUCUC